GCGAAUGAUUCACUUUACACCCUUUGUGAAUAAACACCUGGAAAAACGUUGGCAGUUUUGUUGAUUUUUAUUUAUUUGCGUAAAAUCGUGUGAAAAAUAUAUACAAAAUUACAAAGUAAAUAUAUUUUAGCUUAAAAUAAUACAGUAAAUUGUUUUCUGAGUGGUGAUAAUUAAUGUGCAAGUUGUUAAAAUAAAUAAAAUCCUGGCCACUGAUUUUAAAAAUUAAACUUGAACUCUUAUCAAGGCAGCUUAUCAACUUCUUCAACUGUCGAUCCAAGAAGAGACACAAGAUUGAUGUGGAUUAUUUUUAUCUUCAAAAAUCUCGUCCUUAUUUAUUCGCCCUCACUAAACACAUACGUACAUAAGCUGUGAACUGUAUAAAAAACGAGAAGAGUGGAUGGAUAAGACCAUCUGAAUUUUACACCCGCCUACUACAAUAAAUUGGAAAUUCGUCAGAUAAGAAGUGGGACCGGAUACAAAGUCUUGGAUGCAAUAAUAGCCUCCGGAGGAGCAUAGUGCAACUCGUGAUAAAUUUUUAAUCGCUAUAUACUGUGAAGCAGUACUGUAUUCGUUGUAUCGAGAAAUAUUCGGAUCAGAUCGAGCAGCAGAGCAGAGUGACGAAAUCGGGUGUUCAAAAGCGGGGGUCGGUUGUCCCAUGCUGAAUGGUGUCGGUAUCAAAACUGUUCUGAAAUCAUGGAUGCGCCCGGAAUAGAACCACAUUCUCCGAAGAAUCUAUUCCUGCUGAGGAAUGAGGAGGAGGACCGAAAUAAUUUACAUGUUGAUGAACAUCCACUACCACCAAGUACAACCAGCGGGUCUAGGGAUGGAUUCGAGGCGGAAGUCCAGAUCCAAAUCGGGCCUAAUGGAGGAACCAUAUCCGCGAGUAGGAGGAGGCGAGAAACGGUCGAAUUGCAACAAAUGAAUGCAGAUUUAAUAUCAGCCCAAGACGAGCGGAAAGACAAGUUGCACGCCACCUUGAUAGCGGAGAAAGUAGAACUUGAAGAAUUACAGAAAGACAUUCUAAAUCUUCGCAGUAAACUCAACCCGUUAUUUAACGACCUGGAAAAGCUCAAAGAUGAAAAUCAACGAUUGAGGAUAGAGUGUCAACUGAUGACGAGGGAAGUGGAUCUCUACGACAAUGGGACGGUUCCACUUGGAGAAACCAACUUGGAAUUUUACCGGGACAUUUACUCCGGACAAGAUAUCAACGCACUGUUUGGAAGCACCCAAAGUCGUCGACGUCGCCAAGGAGUGGAACCCGGUGGCCAAUAUGUUUCUCGAAAACCACCUCCACCACGACCGCCUCCACCGAAUCCGAAACAUUUGCCCUCUCCGCCCAGAGAAGAAGGUCCAAACUCGGAAUGGGUUUGUACCAUGUGCACAUUUCUAAACCAUCCUGACCUAGUAAAAUGUGAGCAGUGUGAUAUGCAGCGCGUUUCAAGUCGAGAGCAGAACAUUCGCAUCAGCAUUCGACGCCAUCAACAGCCACCACCGCACAGAAAAGUCAUUCACUCAUGGGUUGUCUGAUGAAAUAUAUGACAUUGGGAAAUGCCAAUGUUAAAUUUACAUUGUGGUCGUCGUUACUGAUAAAUCAGCGUGUAAUAUCACCCAGAGCCAAAGACUGAUGAAGAAGAAUACAUUUAGUUGGAAGAAGUUAAAGUUUUAAAUAGAUUUAAAAAUCUGCGGUGUUUGGUAACAAGAAGAAAAAGAAAUCGAUUUUAUUCUCAAACUCGUAAUAAGAAGCAAUAUAUCUCUCGUUUUUAGUGGUUGUUUGUGUGGUACUAGAAAAACAGAUUAAGUCUAAAUGUCUGGGAAUCGGUCACAAAUGAAGUCACGUAAAAAAUCAGUCUGCAGAGGAAUUAUGUCACACGUUGGAUCUUUUUAUGGUUGAAUGAUUGCCAAAUGCCACUGUUGGACCUUCUCCUCCUUGGAUAGCGUCCCCGCAGCAAUGAAAACAUCAGAUUUCCUCUUGAGACGCCUCAAUUAUUUGAAGUAUUCGACUGUUUAGUUACCUCACGAAUUAUUAAGUUUAGUUUUAAUUAACUGUGAUGUCCGCUUUUAUUUUACAUGUUUGUGUGUUUGUCUUGUUAUAUACAUAUUUAUUUAAAGGUUAGUUAAACUAAAUUUUAUCAAGCUUCUGCUAUAAAGAGAAGAAAAAUAGGACACACAAUGACAUUCCCAAUACAAUACCUGAGAGUAAUUAUAUAUCAUUUUGAAUGCAAUGCAAUGCUAUGUUAUCGAUGAUGAUAAUCGUUUUACUUAAUCAUAUUCAAUCUUGUAUAACUAAAUAUCAUGAUAUGCAUGUCAAGUAUGAAGGAGAAGAAGUGAAUUUUACUUUAGUAGAUGUAUUUAAUAUUCAAAUUAAAUUUUAUGCCAUAGUUUUAACAUGUUACGAGACGAUGAAUGCAAAAUGAGAGAUUAUUGCCAAAUAUUUUAUUUAUGUAUGAAAUGAAAAUGAGGUGCUGGUAACUUUUAGUUGGAUAAGAACUUAUUGGUACUACCAACACUGAACAAUGUGGUGAAUAUUUUACUGAAAUUGAAAUCUUUACUUUCUAGAGAAUGAUGUAUACGCGAAAAAGUACUAUUUGUAUUUCAUAUUUAUGACAUGAAUUAAAGAAUAAUAUACGAGUCGAAAAUAAAUAUAUUUUUAAACCUACA